GAUGAACGCUGGCGGCGUGCUUAACACAUGCAAGUCGAACGAUGAAGCCCAGCUUGCUGGGUGGAUUAGUGGCGAACGGGUGAGUAACACGUGAGUAACCUGCCCUUAACUCUGGGAUAAGCCUGGGAAACUGGGUCUAAUACCGGAUAGGAGCGUCUACCGCAUGGUGGGUGUUGGAAAGAUUUAUCGGUUUUGGAUGGACUCGCGGCCUAUCAGCUUGUUGGUGAGGUAAUGGCUCACCAGGGCGACGACGGGUAGCCGGCCUGAGAGGGUGACCGGCCACACUGGGACUGAGACACGGCCCAGACUCCUACGGGAGGCAGCAGUGGGGAAUAUUGCACAAUGGGCGCAAGCCUGAUGCAGCGACGCCGCGUGAGGGAUGACGGCCUUCGGGUUGUAAACCUCUUUCAGUAGGGAAGAAGCGAAAGUGACGGUACCUGCAGAAGAAGCACCGGCUAACUACGUG
rnacentral:rRNA from 1 species